rnacentral:rRNA from 1 species
UACAGAGGUCCCAAGCGUUGUCCGGAUUUAUUGGGCGCAAAGAGCGUGUAGGCGGCCAAGUAAGUCUGCUGUGAAAACUCGAGGCUUAACCUCGAGCUGUCGGCGGAAACUAUUUGGCUAGAGUCCGGAAGAGGAGAAUGGAAUUCCCGGUGUAGCGGUGAAAUGCGCAGAUAUCGGGAAGAACACCCGUGGCGAAGGCGGUUCUCUGGGACGGUACUGACGCUGAGACGCGAGAGCGUGGGGAGCGAACAGG